CGAAAUUCAUAAAUUAAUUUUGUAUCCAUCAUUUUUUUUUUCUUACUAUGAUGUUACAAUUGUGAACCAGAAUCUAUUUUUAGGUGGAAUAGACACAGGCGCAAUUACAAUGGUGUGGGCGAUGGCAGAGCUGGCUAACAACCCUGGACUGAUGAAGAAAGCACAAGAAGAAGUCAGAAAAUACAUCGGAAACAAAGGAAAAGUCACAGAAACUGAAACAGAUCAGCUCCAAUACCUCAAGAUGGUAAUCAAAGAAACCCUAGGACUGCAUCCUCUAGCUCCAAUGAUCCUUCCCAGGGAAACCACGUCCCGUUGCAAAAUCCAGGGUUAUGACAUUGACCCCAAAACCCUAGUUCUUGUUAAUGCAUGGGCAAUCGCACGCAACCCCGGGUUUUGGAAGGACCCAGAAGAGUUCAUCCCUGAAAGGUUUGAUGGAAGCUCGGUUGAUUACCAAGGACAACAUUUUGAGUUUCUGCCGUUCGGAGCUGGUCGAAGAGUUUGUCCAGGAAUAUAUAUGGGAACGACAACGGUGAAGCUUGGACUUGCAAAUCUUGUCUACUGGUUCGACUGGAAAUUACCUGAUGGAAUUGUG
rnacentral:lncRNA from 1 species